ACUGACUUUUUCUCUUUAAGAAGGUCUAUGAAUCCUAUACCGAGUCAUACCUUCAUCUUCUAGGGACUUAUGUUGACUCCAACAAGAUGAUCCGAAGUCGUUUUGAUAUCCGUACUGUAUGUUAACCUCAUUUGGCUAUAUCAAAUAUCUUUCAAAUCCAUUAUUAAUGAACUCUAUUGAAUGAUCUUAACCUUGAUCCGAUCUGUCCUUCAUGAUUUUUUGAUCAAGUCACUUAAAUCUGACCCU
rnacentral:lncRNA from 1 species